GUCUGCGAAAGAAGCUGCGUACCCUCUGCGGCGAAGAGAGAUAGAGCUCAACCCCCUUGGACUGGUGAAAACAUCUGUGGUCAUCUUGGGCUAUUUCUCUUGUGCUGGGGAGUGUUUUUUCGUUGUGCCUUAAUAAACAAGUUUUUUCCACUUUCCCCUCUGAAGGAAUUCCUCCCGAACCCGGUGGUGGGGGGGAGGUUGCGGAGGGUUUGGUUUCCUAUAGGGGGCUCCUUUGGAGGUGUUUUCCCCUAAUUUGUCCAAAACCAGGACAAAUAAUUUGGUGGCCCGUACGGGGAGGCCCAGACAAAGUGGAAAAAACUUUAUUCUAAUAAUAUUUUUGGCUUUAACCGUUCUGCGGGAAUAUUGGUAUGUCUUUCUUUAAAGUUAUGAUGUCAUUGGGAGUGAAAGCCUGCCUCUAUUUGUGGUCAUUAGGGUUCUUCGAAGUUUUGAUCGCUUUAUGGUCCCUGGAGUUAUUUUCUUAUCCAGAAGUAGCUCCGACAUCGGACCUACUCCGGGCAGGAGCUCCCCCGGGGUCUGCGAAAGAAGCUGCGUACCCUCUGCGGCGAAGAGAGAUACAGCUCAACCCCCUUGGACUGGUGAAAACAUCUGUGGUCAUCUUGGGCUAUUUCUCUUGUGCUGGGGAGUGUUUUUUCGUUGUGCCUUAAUAAACAAGUUUUUUCCACUUUC